UCUGGCCGGCCGGUCCGCCUCCUCUGCGCCCCGACCCGGGCCGCCCGGCAGCCUCCCUCUGGCGCUGGGCCAGGAGUUCCCGCCGGCUGCGACGCGGCCACUUCAUUUCCUCUCCCAAGACCACGGUUUCCUUCUGCUCCAACUCUGACAGGAGCCUGGCCGCGUCCCUGCGACCUCCAGGACUGGGACCUCUCGCCCUGCACUCCCGGGGUGUGCCCUCUAGCAGACAGGAGCGCACACCCACCACCGCGCGCAGCAGGGCUCGGCGGACCCCGCCCCGUCCCUCCGUCCCACCGCCUGGUCCAGCCCUCCGCCCCACGCCCGGCUCCCUGAGGCCGCGUCGGACCUGCGCGCAUCCGGGCCGUGCGGUGCUGGUGCAGGCGGUUACAGCUUGGGCAAUCUUGGGCAAGGCCUUCAGCCCCUCUCAACUUCCCUUUCCGCAGUAGCUCUGCCCUCUGCGACACCAGAUAAAGUCCCAAACCCAGCCCUGACCUAACCAGCCCCAGUCUCCCUGCCCAGAACCACGGAGCUGCGUCUGCCCCCAGCCCCCGCCCCGGAAGGAGUAGGAUUGGAAGGCCAAGGGGCUCUUUCCAGCUUGAGGGAGUCCACAUUUGUCCUCCGGGGGUGUGUCUAGGCCCAGUUUUCUUAUUGGCACCAUGAAAGUAGCCGAGCGGUGCUAAGGUUUGAGGAGGUGCCAGGGAACUGGCCUUUCUCAGCCUGGGCCUGGAACACCAUUUGUCCUCUGCCAUCCUUGGGGACCAUGGGAGCACUCCAGGUCUUCUGGGGCUAAGGAGCCUGAGGAAAAUAAACCCAGACCCAACAGCUGCCUGGCCCUCCCACUGAGCGGCAGCCCAGGCAGUGGGCAGAGGAGACCGCGGAGAAGCCGGACCUGGGCCCAUCCCGGCUGGACACACCUGUGCUGCAGCCUUCUGCAGGUGUGGCCUGUGGUGUGGGGGGUGAGGGUUGGGGGCAUGGUGUGGGCUGUGCUGUGCCUGGUUGGGUGGCAGACGCCGACAUAGGAUGGCCAGGUCCUGUUCUCGGUGGCAGCAGCGACCUCUCCCUCACCUGUCACUGGGAGGCAGAAGUGGGCAGGAGGAGCUCUGGAGCAGGGAACCCAGGAGGCUGGGGCCAGCUGUCCGGCUAAAGUGGGGAGGGGAGCCACAGCAGGAGAGUGUGGGUCUCCUGUCCCGGGUGCUGUGGCCCACCUGGGCCUGGGGCUUGGCCUCUAACCCUCACCUGUGAGGUGGGUCCUCCCUCCGGUAGCCCUGAAGCCUCUCUCCAUGGCCUUCCUGCAGUCCACUGAGGACACCCCACUUUCUGCUCACCUGUUCGCAUCCCGUCUUUGUCCCCACACUGGUCACACCCAGGUGUGCACCCCUGGGCCAGAGUGGAAGUCCACUAGCCCCUCCCCACACCCUGUCCACCCUGCCCUGUGGCUCCCCCCUCGGGGUCAGGUGGGGGCUGAAUCCUGCUGGCCUCCCUGCCAUCUUCUGAGCCUGCCCUGUGCCCUCUGCUGUGCUGUGCUGGGAAGGCCAUGAGUGGGCACAAGCAAGGUGGGGACCCAAGGGCCCAGCCCCCAGGGACUUCCAAGGGACACAGACUGAGAACAGGCCUCCUCUGUCUGAGGAUCACUGCGCUGGGAGAACUGGGCAUGUUGGUGUCCAGCGCCUGGCCACACCUAGGACUUGGCACUCCAUGGAGGGGCCCUCCCUGCCCCCCCUCGUUACUGAUGAGGAGACUGGGCCUCGGUGGAAGCAGGACUCCCUCAGUCUCACUGGGUCAUGCCUGCCCUGUGGCCUGGAUGGUGUGACCCUAUAGCCACAGAGGUGAGUGACGGGAGUGCAACGGGCAGGCUGUGAGGCUCCUGGGACCCUCAGCUCUUCUUCAGGCCUGCCUGCUAUUGCGUGUGCAGUGCCUUCUUCCUGGACACUUGGGGGGGUGGUGGCUGGAGGCUUGAUCUCUCAGGUCUAGACCUCCGAGGACCUUCUGUGAUGAGGGUGACCAGUGGGGCUGAGAAGUGAGCGCAGGGGCAGGUGAGCUUGGGAGGAUCUGAGGCACGGCUCUGUCCUGCCUCUUCUGCAGUGUGGACGACUCUUGCUGCCCCAUCCCGGUCUCGCAGUGAAGCCUGGGCUCUGGGAGAGGGGCCUGGUGGCGAGAUCUUCAGACGUAGGAUGUGCUCAUUUCCUGUCCCUCAUAAGAAAUCUCCGCAGAACCCAGUGGCUUAGAGCCAGCAGUUAUCAUCUCACUGUGUCCAAGGGUCAGAGGUUGGCGUGGCAGAGCCGGGCAGUUGGGCUCUCAGCUGGGCUGGACACCCCGCUGCCGGCCUGUCUGCUGGGGAAGGCACCCUCCCCCUGUGGGCCGACCCCCUGUGAAGGCCCUUCCACGCCAGCCCGUCGAGGGUGCCCCUCGCACCGGCACCGUGUCGGAGGGUGGGAAGCCAGCCUGGCCCGGGAGGGAGGGGCGGCCAGGCAGGAUCUGGGGGGCACUCACUGCCAGCAGGGCCUCGGGGCACAGGCGAAGGGGAGGGCUGCUCCUUUUCCCUGGUAGUCACAUUUCUGGUGGUGGGGACCCUAGGAGUCGCCCAAGUGGACUGCAGGGCAGACUCCAGGGCAGAGCAGGGUCAAGAGGGGACAGGAGGCCAGGGCACCUAAGUGGCCCCUUUCCUCAGUGUCCCACUUUCCCAGCAGGACAGACGUGUUACUUGUUGUCACUCCUCUUCAGAAUCCAGGUGGCCAGGUGCGGUGGUGCACAGCUGCUGUCCCAGCUGCUCCCGAGGCUGAGGCAGGAGGGUCACUGGAGCCCAGGAGUCUGCGGUCAGCUGGGCAACACAGCAAGACCCCGUCUCAGAAUCUAUAAACAAAACAGACCAAGGUGAAGUCCACCCAACAGGCCAUGAUCAGGGAGCAGACAGCCCGUGACAUUUAGGGCACUCAGCAUUGCGCAACUGCCCGCUCCCGUUUCAGGACCUUCCCCUGACCCCGUGGCAACACCCUGCACCAUUACCUAAUCGUUCCGAGGCCCGCCACCUGGUGAGCACUGCUGUGCCUUCUGUCCCUGAGGACUCCACGGUUCCUGCACUGGCCUUCGUGCAGACGGCAUCACACCCAUGGGCCUCUCUCCCAGCACCAUGUCCGUGCAGGAUUUUCAACACUUCUCUCCUUUUUAUGGCAGAAUAACAUUCCAUGGUACCCAGAUGCCGUGUCACCUGCCCAUGGACAGGGACACUUGGGGCAUUUCAACCUUGGGCUGUGGUGAACCGUGCUGCCGUGGAUGUCCAUGUACGAGUACGUGUGUGGACAUGUUUUCAUUUCCCGUAGGUUUGUACCUAGGAGUGGCAUGGCUGGGGGUUUGUGAGUCUGGCUUCCUGAGGAGCACCACGUUCCGCAGCAGCCCCACAGCAGGGUGUGAGGCUCCAGUUUCCCCAUGUCCUUGCCAACCCUCCUUACUGUCACUUUCUGCGGGGCUCUGGUAUUUUUUUUCUUGAUUAAAGCCACUCGUGUGGGUGUGAGGUGGGUCUCUCCGAGGGCCUGUUGCCGUUUGUAGUCUUCUCUGGAGAAAUGUCCCUUCCCCGCAGCCCUGAGGAUGGGACCCAAGCCCUCACAGGUGCUAGACCAGGUUUUUAGAGUUCUUUAAACAUUCCAGAUAUUAAAUUUAUUAAAUAUGUGAUCUGCAAACAUUU